GGUGCGGCAGCUACAAUGCAAGUCGAGCGGAGAAUGGAAUUGCUCCUUAUUGGCGGCGGACGGGUGAGUAUGCCUAUGAAUCUGCCUGGUGUGGAGGACAACGUCUCCAAAGGAACGCUAAUACCGCAUACGCCCUACGGGAGAAAGCGGGGGAUCUUCUGACCUUGGGCUAUCGCAUGAGCCUAUGUCGGAUUACCUAGUUGGUGAGGUAAUGGCUCACCUGGCGACCAUCCGUAACUGGUUUGAUAGGAUGAUCGACGGCUGGCACUGAGACACGGACCGAACUCCUACGGGAGGCCGCAGUGGGGAAUAUUGGACAAUGGGUGAAAGCCUGAUCCACCCAUGCCGCGAGUGUGAACAAGGGCUUCAGAUUGUAAAGCACUUUAGGUUGGUAGGAAGGGAAGUAAGAUAAUACCUUGCUGUUUUGACGUUACCCCCAGAAUAAACACCGGCUAACUUCCUGCCAUCAGCCCCGGUAAUACGAAGGGUGCAAGCGUUAAUCGGAAUUACUGGGCGUAAAGCGUGCGCAUGUGGGUCUCUAAGUUGGAUGUUUAAUUCUCAUGCUCAACCUGGCAACUGCAUCCGUGACUGGCAUUCUAGACUGUGGCAGAGGGUGGUGGAAUUUCCUGUGUAACUGUGAAAUGCGUAGAUAUAGGGAGGAACACCGGUGACGAACGCGACCACCUGGGCUCAUUCUGACACUGAGGCGCGAAAGCGUGGAGAGCAAACGAGAUUAGAUACCCUGAUAGUCUACGCCGUAAACCCAUGUCAACUAGCCGUGGGGGCUCUUUGGUGUCGUUGUGGCCGCCCUAUCGCGUUAAAUCUAACGCCUGAGGCAGUACGGCCUGGAGGGUUAGAACUCCAAUGAUUUAGACUGGAGUCACGCACAAGCGGGCGCAGCAUGUGGUUUAUAUCAUAUCAUCCAUACAACCUUACCAGCCU
rnacentral:rRNA from 1 species